AAUAUCCUUUUAACAAAUUAUGCGUAUUUAAGGAGAUAGGGCUGCGCAUGCGCAGAACGUAUCUCCUUACCUUUGCACUUUUUGGUAAGAAGAUGUUAACGAAAGUUGUUCGUCAUGAUGAGGGCUACAACUUUGCUUAAUAUCCUUUUAACAAAUUAUGCGUAUUUAAGGAGAUAGGGCUGCGCAUGCGCAGAACGUAUCUCCUUACCUUUGCACUUUUUGGCAAGAAGAUGUU
rnacentral:miRNA from 1 species